rnacentral:rRNA from 1 species
AAUAGAUACCCGGGUAGUCCACGCCGUAAACGAUGGAUGCUAGCUGUUAGGAGUAUCGACCCUCCUAGUAGCGUAGCUAACGCGUUAAGCAUCCCGCCUGUGGAGUACGGUCGCAAGACUAAAACAUAAAGGAAUUGACGGGGACCCGCACAAGCGGUGGAGCGUGUUGUUUAAUUCGAUGGUAAGCGAAGAACCUUACCCAGGCUUGACAUCCUGCUAAUCACUCCGAAAGGAGAGAGUGCCUUCGGGCCGCAGUGACAGGUGUUGCAUGGCCGUCGUCAGCUCGUGUCGUGAGAUGUUUGGUUAAGUCCAUCAACGAGCGCAACCCUUAUAGUUAGUUGUAUUUUUCUAGCUAGACUGCCCUGGCAACAGGGAGGAAGGAGGGGAUGAUGUCAGGUCAGUAUUACCCUUACGCCUGGGGCUACAAACACGCUACAAUGGCCGGUACAAAGGGCAGCCAACCCGCGAGGGGGAGCAAAUCCCAUCAAAGCCGGUCUCAGUUCGGAUAGCAGGCUGAAACUCGCCUGCUUGAAG